CAGCUCUUGAUUUGUUGAAAGAUAUAGAGGUGGAUGCAAUAGUUGGUCCUCAAAAAUCUUCACAAGCCAAUUUUGUGAUGGAACUAGGAGACAGAGCUCAUGUGCCUAUCAUUUCUUUCUCUGCAACAAUUCCUUCUGUGCUUUUCCCAACUCCAUACUUUGUUCAAACAGCUCUUAGAGAUGACACUCAAGUUGGGGCCAUUGCUGCCAUUAUUGAAGCCUUCCAAUGGAAAGAAGUUGUCAUUAUUUAUGAAGACACAGACUAUGGGAAUGGAGUAGUUCCAUAUUUGUCAAAUGCAUUACAAGAUAUCGCCCGAAUUUCCUACACAAGCAUCAUUCCUCUUUCAGCUAGUGAUGAUUUUAUACUCAGUGAGUUAUCCAAGAUGAUGAGAAUGGAAACAAGGGUAUUCGUGGUGCACAUGACGCACUCUCUUGGCACACGCUUAUUUCUUACAGCUAAGGAAAUAGGAAUGCUGUCUGAGGGCUACGCAUGGAUCAUCACUGAUGGGCUAAUGGACCUACUCUACUCAAUGGAUUCUCGUGUCAUAGAAGCAAUGCAAGGUGUCUUGGGGUAAAGCCUCGCAUUCCCAAAUCAUCAGAACUCGACUCUUCCAUAUUUAGGUGGAAGAUGAAGUUUCUUCAGGAUAAUCCUACUGUCAAACAGGCUGAGAUAAGCAGUUUUGGGCUAUGGGCAUAUGACACUAUGUGGGCACUGGCAAUGGCAGUAGAGAUAAUUGGAUUUAGGAAGCCAAUCACUUUAGAGAAAAAUGCAAUGAAUUUGACAAACCUAUUUAGUUUUGGAAUCUCUCAAACAGGUCCUAAACUUCACAAAGCAAUGUUGGAGACAAGAUUUGAAGGGUUGAGUGGUGAGUUCUAUCUUGUUAAUGGACGAUUACAACCUUCGCCAUUCCAAAUAUUAAAUGUAGUUGGAAAGGGGGAGAGAGAGGUCGGAAUCUGGACACAAUCUCAUGGAAUUUCAAGGGAAUUCAACAUGAAUGCAGCAAAUUCUUCAUCAACUUUGAAGGAAAACUUUCGAGCAAUUAUAUGGCCUAAAGAUUCAACACAUGUACCGAAAGGCUAGGAAAUUCCAGUAAAAGGUAAGAAGCUAAGAAUUGGGGUCCCAGUAAAAGAUGGUUUUACUGAAUUUGCAAAGGUGGAAAUAGACUCUCAAUCCAAUUCCACAACAUUCAGUGGAUAUUGUAUAGAAAUAUUUGAUUAUGUAUUAAAAGCAUUACCAUACGAUGUGCCAAGUGAGUACGUUCCCCUCAAGAAAGUUGAUGAUGAGAAUUAUUAUAAUGAUCUGGUAUACCAAGUUUAUCUUCAGCAGAAUUAUGAUGCUGCAGUAGGGGACAUUACAAUCACAACAAAUCGGUCGUUCUAUGUGGAUUUCACAUUGCCGUUUGCAGAUGGAGGGGUUUCCAUGAUAGUACCAAUUACAUAUGAGGACAAUAACAGUAAAUGGAUCUUCUUGAAACCGUUCAAUAUGGACCUGUGGCUAACAAGCAUAGCUUUCUUCAUCUUUACUGGAUUUGCUGUUUGGGUUCUUGAACAUCGAAUAAAUAUUGCAUUUAGAGGUCCACCUUCCCAGCAUGUUGGAGAAAAAAUAGUGAGCAACUUGGCUAAGUUUGCUGUGGUGAUAUGGUUGUUUGUGGUUCU